rnacentral:rRNA from 1 species
GAGUAACCUGCCCUUAACUCUGGGAUAAGCCUGGGAAACUGGGUCUAAUACCGGAUAUGACUCCUCAUCGCAUGGUGGGGGGUGGAAAGCUUUAUUGUGGUUUUGGAUGGACUCGCGGCCUAUCAGCUUGUUGGUGAGGUAAUGGCUCACCAAGGCGACGACGGGUAGCCGGCCUGAGAGGGUGACCGGCCACACUGGGACUGAGACACGGCCCAGACUCCUACGGGAGGCAGCAGUGGGGAAUAUUGCACAAUGGGCGAAAGCCUGAUGCAGCGACGCCGCGUGAGGGAUGACGGCCUUCGGGUUGUAAACCUCUUUCAGUAGGGAAGAAGCGAAAGUGACGGUACCUGCAGAAGAAGCGCCGGCUAACUACGUGCCAGCAGCCGCGGUAAUACGUAGGGCGCAAGCGUUAUCCGGAAUUAUUGGGCGUAAAGAGCUCGUAGGCGGUUUGUCGCGUCUGCUGUGAAAGACCGGGGCUCAACUCCGGUUCUGCAGUGGGUACGGGCAGACUAGAGUGAUGUAGGGGAGACUGGAAUUCCUGGUGUAGCGGUGAAAUGCGCAGAUAUCAGGAGGAACACCGAUGGCUAAGGCAGGUCUCUGGGCAUUAACUGACGCUGAGGAGCGAAANCUUGCUGAGCGAACAGGAUUAGAUACCCUGGUAGUCCAUGCCGUACAAGUUNNNGCACUAGUGUGUGUGGGGACAUUCCACGUUUUUUCUCCGCCNCCUUUAA